rnacentral:rRNA from 1 species
GACGAACGCUGGCGGCGUGCUUAACACAUGCAAGUCGAACGGAAAGGCCUGCUUUCCCUUGUGGAUUGCGGGUACUCGAGUGGCGAACGGGUGAGUAACACGUGAGUGAUCUGCCCCCAACUUGGGUAUAAGCCUGGGAAACUGGGUCUAAUUCCCGAUAGGACUGCAGGGUGGUGCCUGUGGUGGAAAACGAUUUUCUAGUGGUUGGGGAUGAGCUCGCGGCCUAUCAGCUUGUUGGUGGGGUAAUGGCCUACCAAGGCGGCGACGGGUAGCCGGCCUGAGAGGGUGGACGGCCACAUUGGGACUGAGAUACGGCCCAGACGCCUACGGGAGGCAGCAGUGGGGAAUAUUGCACAAUGGGCGGAAGCCUGAUGCAGCGACGCCGCGUGGGGGAUGACGGCCUUCGGGUUGUAAACUCCUUUCGACCGCGAGGAAGCCACCUGGUUGGAAGGGUGGUGACGGUAGUGGUAGAAGAAGCACCGGCUAACUACGUGC